GGAUUAGAUACCCUGGUAGUCCACGCCGUAAACGAUGUCUACUAGCCGUUGGGGUACUUGAUACCUUAGUGGCGCAGCUAACGCACUAAGUAGACCGCCUGGGGAGUACGGCCGCAAGGUUAAAACUCAAAUGAAUUGACGGGGGCCCACACAAGCGGUGGAGCAUGUGGUUUAAUUCGAUGCAACGCGAAGAACCUUACCAGGCCUUGACAUACUGAGAACUUUCUAGAGAUAGAUUGGUGCCUUCGGGAAUUCAGAUACAGGUGCCGCACGGCUGUCGUCAGCUCGUGCCG
rnacentral:rRNA from 1 species